rnacentral:rRNA from 1 species
AUGGCGAGUCCGCAGAGGCCUUGCUCAUCGGGGACGUCCCUCUCCAUCCUGAUGAAUCCAUUCUCGCCCCAUGAUGUGCCCCACGAGUUCUUCAUCACCCAAUACUUGGUCCCGUCGCCGGCGACGCCGUACCCGACCACCGCAAUGCCGUGGUCGAGCUCCGUGCCACAAUCGCCGGAGAGCACGCCGCCCUUGUAG